rnacentral:rRNA from 1 species
GGGGGGGGGGGGGGGUGGGGCGAACAGAGGCAAGGCGAGGGGCAGCACAGUAAGAGCUUGCUCUGACGGGUGGCGAGUGGCGGACGGGUGAGGAAUACAUCGGAAUCUACUUUUUCGUGGGGGAUAACGUAGGGAAGCUGACGCUAAUACCGCAUACGACCUACGGGUGAAAGCAGGGGAUCUUCAGACCUUGCGCGAUGGAGUGAGCCGAUGUCGGACUAGCUAGUUGGCGGGGUAAGGGCCCACCAAGGCGACGAUCCGUAGCUGGUCUGAGAGGAUGAUCAGCCACACUGGAACUGGGACACGGUCCAGACUCCUACGGGAGGCAGCAGUGGGGAAUAUUGGACAAUGGGCGCAAGCCUGAUCCAGCCAUACCGCGUGGGUGAAGAAGGCCUUCGGGUUGUAAAGCCCUUUUGUUGGGAAAGAAAAGCAGCAGGUUAAUACCCCGCUGUUCUGACGGUACCCAAAGAAUAAGCACCGGCUAACUUCGUG